AUGAAAUGAAUGUCGAGAAGGGUUGUAGCUGGCCUUUUGGGGCAUGUGCACACCUUGAUCGCACAUCCACCUCUCACACCUGUGCACUAUGUGUAGCUUGGGAUGAUUACAGUGUUGGAAACGACGUUGAAAGCCCUAGCUAUGAAUUUUUAUACACCCACAUACAAAGUUAUAGAAUGGAUAAUGUUAUAGCGUGUAAUAGCGCGAAUAUAUA
rnacentral:misc_RNA from 1 species